rnacentral:rRNA from 1 species
UACGGAGGGUGCGAGCGUUGUCCGGAAUCAUUGGGCGUAAAGGGCGCGUAGGUGGCCCGGUGAGUCUUUGGUGAAAGCGCGGGGCUCAACCCUGCGUCGGCCAGGGAUACUGCCGCGGCUCGAGCACUGUAGAGGCAGGCGGAAUUCCGGGUGUAGCGGUGGAAUGCGUAGAGAUCCGGAAGAACACCGGUGGCGAAGGCGGCCUGCUGGGCAGUGGCUGACGCUGAGGCGCGACAGCGUGGGGAGCAAACAGG